UUUUUUUUUUUUUUUUUUUUUUUUUGCACCUACCUGUUCUAAUCCUAACAUAAAGUAUGAGAUUUCUUAAAUCUUUAUUUUGGAGUCUCAUCCAAGACUUCUUAACUCUAGAAUAUAUGCUAAACAACACACUUAGUUAAAAGACAGUGGGGGGGGUUCUAUUGUGGCUUAGCAGUUAAUAAACCCUAUUAGUAUCCAUGAGGAUGGGCGGGUUCGAUCCCUGUCAGGUUCGUUAACUGCUAAGCCACGAAGGGAACUCCCUCAAAAGACCAUUAUACAAGAAAACAGAUAUUGUAUAAAACCAACUGCUGUCUAGAAUACAACAAGUAUGAUUAAGAAGUAUUUAAAUGAGAAGGAACACUUGUAUUUAGUAGAAAAUGCUAGGAAAAGAGACUAAAAGAGUAAAAUAAUCUUGCAACCAUUAAAAUAUUAUCAACUAGUGAACAUGAAAGGAACAGAGGCAUCUCAUAACAUAGGACUGAAAGAGGAAGGCAAAGGAUAGUAGAUGACAGCAGGGCACAGAAUGAUUGUCAGAGAUGAGACUGAAUUAUGUGUGAAAGGAUAUAGGGAUAUAUGAACAAUAUGUGCUUCUUGAAUGUGGGUCUAAUUACAUUUGACUGUGUUCAGCUAAUCAGGUAAAGAACAGACAAAAAACAAUCAGGUCUCUAACAAGUUUAUGAUAAAAGAAAUUAUCAGGGAGAUAUGUACACAAAGAUGUUUCCUUACAUAUGGUAACUGCACUGAUAUGUUCAAAUUUUAUUUAAAAAAAACUUUAAAUAAUUCUAAUGUCUAAAAAAGAGGUAAAUGUUAUACAAAAAAAAAUCAUGGGUCCAAAUGAGAUUAGAAUGCAUUCAUAUUUGAAGAUAGGAAAACUUUUUUGUUGACAGUCAUCUUAAAAUAUUAUCAAUAUAAUAGAAAGAAGUGUACCAAAAGUCUGAGUGGUUCUGAAUAUUCUUUUAAUUGUGCUAUGCUUUAUUUCAAUGUUUCUCUAAUGAUACCGCUGCCUUUUAAUUUUUUAUACAUUUAUAAUGAGGGAAAGAAAAUGAUUCU
rnacentral:lncRNA from 1 species